UUUGCUGCUGUCUUUACAGCUUCUGCUUAUUUCCUCUGCCUGCACCUUAUAUUUGUUGUGUUUAUCGAGACCUGGCCUGUCUCUGCCUCGUUGAAGACAAAUGGACACAAGUACUGGUUGCUGUUGGUUUGUUUGGUUUGCUCAGUCUGAGCGUGCUGCAGAGCACUUGACCACUGCAGCAGUCAAGCACGCUGUAUAUUGGGCAGUGCCAGGAAUUGCAAGAUCGAGACAGGCUGCCACUAGAAGUUCCUUGGGCCAGAUAAGGGAGGCAGCUUUUGCAUCUGCAACAGAACAUUGGUGGAUGUUGUGUGAAGCACUUUCUCCAUGCUUUUUCACUACCUGAGCAAGGUAACUUUCUUGGUGCUUCAUCACGCAAUUUAUACAAUCAACUUCCAUUAAUUCUACCCUCACGAGACUGACGGGUCGAAUUAAGAUGCAAAAACCUGCUGAAGCACCGUUGAUUUGUUUGGCAAUAUGUGCUUGAGUAACACGCCUCUGAAACGAACGUGCAUCAAAUUUAUAUUUGUCCACAGUAUAAAACUAAAGUAGAAAUGACUUAACUCCAAACCAAAGUAGAAACCUACGCGUACCUCAUUUUUUAGAAUGCCAGCUGAUUUUCCAAAGCCAGCUUCGCCGUAUUACAGCCAUGAUAUGC